rnacentral:tRNA from 1 species
GUUUUAGUGGUGUAAUAUUGCACGUAAGAUUUUCGUUCUUAAGGUAAGGUGUGCCUUCUAAAGUU